GGAGUUGGGUGAAUUUGGCUAUGUUGCUCCGGAGUACUCAAGCACAAUGGUGGCUUCACUGAAAGGGGAUGCUUACAGCUUUGGGGUUGUGCUUUUGGAGUUAGCUACUGGGCAAAAACCUCUAGAAAUCACUGCUGCUGAUGAAGUUUUUAAGGGAAAUUUGGUGGACUGGGUAAAUCAGCUCUCUGUUUCUGGUCAGAUUAAAGAUGCAAUUGAUAAGCAUAUUUGUAGAAAGGGCCAUGAUGAAGAGAUUGUAAAAUUCCUCAAAAUUGCUUGCAAUUGUUUAAUUUCUCGGCCCAAGGAGAGGUGGUCUAUGUAUCAGGUAUAUGAAGCGCUGAAGAGCAUGGCGGAGAAACAUGGUUUCUCUGAACAUUAUGAUGAAUUUCCCUUGCUAUUUAACAAACAAGAGACCAGCAGUCCCAUUUGAUA
rnacentral:misc_RNA from 1 species